CUGGGUUGCCACCUCCCCUUCUGCCACCCUGUUUGGUCCCUUGGCAGGGCCUGCGUGCCAAGUGCUGGCUCCGCAGUGCCCACUAGCUGCCCCUGUGCCCAGCACGUACCUUGGCGCACGCCCUGCAGUGCCCUGCAGGCCUCUGGUGGGGCUGCCUGUGCCCCGCCCUUCCAGGCCUGCUGAGGCCCAACCUCUGCCACACAGGCCUAUGUGGAGAAGUACAAGUUCACCAGCGUGGUGGCCCAGGACCUGCUGGACUCCUUCCUGAGCUUCUUCCCGGAGCUGAAGGAGCAGAGCGUGGACUGCCGGGCAGGGCUAGAAUUCGAGCGCUGGCUCAAUGCCACAGGCCCACCGCUGGCUGAGCCGGACCUGUCUCAGGGAUCCAGCCUGACCCGGCCCGUGGAGGCCCUUUUCCAGCUGUGGACCGCAGAACCUCUGGACCAGGCAGCUGCCUCAGCCAGCGCCAUUGACAUCUCCAAGUGGAGGACCUUCCAGACAGCACUCUUCCUGGACCGGCUCCUGGAUGGGUCCCCGCUGCCGCAGGAGGUGGUGAUGAGCCUGUCCAAGUGCUACUCCUCCCUGCUGGACUCGAUGAAUGCUGAGAUCCGCAUCCGCUGGCUGCAGAUUGUGGUCCGCAACGACUACUAUCCUGACCUCCACAGGGUGCGGCGCUUCCUGGAGAGCCAGAUGUCACGCAUGUACACCAUCCCGCUGUACGAGGACCUCUGCAC
rnacentral:sRNA from 1 species